GAUGAACGCUGACAGAAUGCUUAACACAUGCAAGUCAACUUGAAUUUGGGUUUUUAACUUAGAUUUGGGUGGCGGACGGGUGAGUAACGCGUAGAGAACUUGCCUCACAGUUAGGGACAACAUUUAGAAAUGAAUGCUAAUACCUGAUAUUUGGUUAUAGGGCAUCCUAUAACUAUGAAAGCUAUAAGCACUGUGAGAGAGCUUUGCGUCCCAUUAGCUAGUUGGAGAGGUAACAGCUCACCAAGGCGAUGAUGGGUAGCCGGCCUGAGAGGGUGAACGGCCACAAGGGGACUGAGACACGGCCCUUACUCCUUACGGGAGGCAGCAGUGGGGAAUAUUGGACAAUGGACCGAGAGUCUGAUCCAGCAAUUCUGUGUGCACGAUGAAGUUUUUCGGAAUGUAAAGUGCUU
rnacentral:rRNA from 1 species